UUGAACGCUGGCGGCAGGCCUCACACAUGCAAGUCGCGCGGAUGAAGGGAGCUUGCUCCUGGAUUCAGCGGCGGACGGGUGAGUAAUGCCUAGGAAUCUGCCUGGUAGUGGGGGAUAACGUCCGGAAACGGGCGCUAAUACCGCAUACGUCCUGAGGGAGAAAGUGGGGGAUCUUCGGACCUCACGCUAUCAGAUGAGCCUAGGUCGGAUUAGCUAGUUGGUGGGGUAAAGGCCUACCAAGGCGACGAUCCGUAACUGGUCUGAGAGGAUGAUCAGUCACACUGGAACUGAGACACGGUCCAGACUCCUACGGGAGGCAGCAGUGGGGAAUAUUGGACAAUGGGCGAAAGCCUGAUCCAGCCAUGCCGCGUGUGUGAAGAAGGUCUUCGGAUUGUAAAGCACUUUAAGUUGGGAGGAAGGGCAGUAAGUUAAUACCUUGCUGUUUUGACGUUACCAACAGAAUAAGCACCGGCUAACUUCGUG
rnacentral:rRNA from 1 species